rnacentral:rRNA from 1 species
AGCCAACUAGCUAGCCCCAUCAUUACCGAGACCGAAAACAACCAUCUAUAUUAAUAACCCCAAAUUCACGAAUGCCCCCACUUAACAAACCAUUUUACCCCUCUAGUAUGGGCGACAGAAAGAGACUUAGGGAGCUAUAGAGUAAGUACCGUAAGGGAACGCUGAAAGAGUAGUGAAACAGCUCAGUAAAGCUUAGAAAAGCAGAGAUUCAGGCUCGUACCUUUUGCAUCAUGAUUUAGCAAGAACUAUCCAAGCAAAGAGCCCUUUAGUUUGACUUCCCGAAACUGGGUGAGCUACUCCAAGACAGCCUAUUAAUAGGGCAAACCCGUCCCUGUGGCAAAAGGGUGGGAAGAGCUUCGAGUAGGGGUGACAGACCUAUCGAACCCAGUUAUAGCUGGUUGCCUGAGAAAUGGAUAGAAGUUCAGCCUCUUAGCUUCUCAUUUCAACUCCGCCUGGCCCGUCCCGACACCUAGAGAAACUAAGAGAGUUAGCCAAAGGGGGAACAGCUCCUUUGGAAUAAGAUACAACUUUACCAGGAGGGUAAAGAUCAUAAUAAGCCAAGGCAAAAUGUUCUAGUGGGCCUAAAAGCAGCCACCUAAUAGAAAGCGUUAAAGCUCAGACAUACUACCCUACCCUAUUAUCCCGAUAAUUAAAUCUUAACCCCCUCAUCCUACCAGGCCGUCCCAUGCAAACAUGGGAGUGACCAUGCUAAUAUGAGUAAUAAGAGAGCCCUAAGCCUCUCUCCUUGCACACGUGUAAAUCGCAAUGGACCAACCACCGAACUUUAACGGCCCCAAAAAAAGAGGGAACUGAACAACAGACCAAACAACCAGAAAACCACUCAACAACACAACCGUUACCCCCACACUGGCGUGCCCCUAAGGAAAGACUAAAAGAAAAAGAAGGAACUCGGCAAACACAUAAAGCCUCGCCUGUUUACCAAAAACAUCGCCUCUUGCAAAAUUAAUGAAUAAGAGGUCCCGCCUGCCCUGUGACUAUAUGUUUAACGGCCGCGGUAUUCUGACCGUGCGAAGGUAGCGCAAUCACUUGUCUUUUAAAUGAAGACCCGUAUGAAUGGCAUAACGAGGGCUUAACUGUCUCCUUUUUCAGGUCAAUGAAUUUGAUCUUCCCGUGCAGAAGCGGGGAUAAAACCAUAAGACGAGAAGACCCUAUGGAGCUUUAGACACCAAGACAGCUCAAAGUUAAGCACCCCUGAAUAAAGGACUAAAUGUAUUGAAACCUGCCCUAAUGUCUUCGGUUGGGGCGACCGCGGGGAAACAAAUAACCCCCAUGUGGAAUAGAGACACCCUCUCCUAAAACAGAGAGCUCCCGCUCUAAUGAACAGAACCUUUCUGACCAGUAAGAUCCGGCAGAGCCGAUCAACGGACCAAGUUACCCUAGGGAUAACAGCGCAAUCCCCUUUUAGAGCCCAUAUCGACAAGGGGGUUUACGACCUCGAUGUUGGAUCAGGACAUCCUAAUGGAGCAGCCAUUAUUAAGGGUUCGUUUGUUCAACGAUUAAAGUCCUACGUGAUCUGAGUUCAGACCGGAGUAAUCCAGGUCAGUUUCUAUCUAUGACAUGAACUUUUCUAGUACGAAAGGACCGAAAAGAAGAGGCCCAUACUCAAAGUACGCCUCACCCCCACCUAAUGAAAAAAACUAAAAUAGGCAAAAGGGCAUGUCCCUUGAUGCCUAAGAAAAUGGCAU